GACGAACGCUGGCGGCGUGCUUAACACAUGCAAGUCGAACGGAAAGGCCCUGCUUUUGUGGGGUGCUCGAGUGGCGAACGGGUGAGUAACACGUGAGUAACCUGCCCUUGACUUUGGGAUAACUUCAGGAAACUGGGGCUAAUACCGGAUAGGAGCUCCUGCUGCAUGGUGGGGGUUGGAAAGUUUCGGCGGUUGGGGAUGGACUCGCGGCUUAUCAGCUUGUUGGUGGGGUAGUGGCUUACCAAGGCUUUGACGGGUAGCCGGCCUGAGAGGGUGACCGGCCACAUUGGGACUGAGAGACGGCGCAGACUCCUACGGGAGGCAGCAGUGGGGAAUAUUGCACAAUGGGCGGAAGCCUGAGACAGCAACGCCGCGUGCGGGAUGACGGCCUUCGGGUUGUAAACCGCUUUCGCCUGUGACGAAGCGUGAGUGACGGUAAUGGGUAAAGAAGCACCGGCUAACUACGUG
rnacentral:rRNA from 1 species